rnacentral:sRNA from 1 species
GACUUCUGCUAUGAAAUGGCAAUUCCUUUGAGCCAGUCUGUCUAAAGUCGGCAGCAAAGGAGAAGCAGAUGAAGGGAGUAGAAAAGAACUCCAGAACAAGACCAAGCUGACUGUACUUGAAGGAGACAUUCUGGAUGAGCCAUUCCUGAAGAGAGCCUGCCAGGACAUCUCGGUCAUCAUCCACACCGCCUGUAUCAUUGAUGUCUUUGGUGUCACUCACAGAGAGUCCAUCAUGAAUGUCAAUGUGAAAGGUACCCAGCUACUGUUGGAGGCCUGUGUCCAAGCCAGUGUGCCAGUCUUCAUCUACACCAGUAGCAUAGAGGUAGCCGGGCCCAACUCCUACAAGGAAAUCAUCCAGAACGGCCACGAAGAAGAGCCUCUGGAAAACACAUGGCGCACUCCAUACCCGUACAGCAAAAAGCUUGCUGAGAAGGCUGUGCUGGCGGCUAAUGGGUGGAAUCUAAAA